AUUGAACGCUGGCGGCAGGCUUAACACAUGCAAGUCGAGCGGGGAAAGGUAGCUUGCUACCUGACCUAGCGGCGGACGGGUGAGUAAUGCUUAGGAAUCUGCCUAUUAGUGGGGGACAACAUUCCGAAAGGAAUGCUAAUACCGCAUACGCCCUACGGGGGAAAGCAGGGGAUCUUCGGACCUUGCGCUAAUAGAUGAGCCUAAGUCAGAUUAGCUAGUUGGUGGGGCAAAGGCCUACCAAGGCGACGAUCUGUAGCGGGUCUGAGAGGAUGAUCCGCCACACUGGGACUGAGACACGGCCCAGACUCCUACGGGAGGCAGCAGUGGGGAAUAUUGGACAAUGGGCGAAAGCCUGAUCCAGCCAUGCCGCGUGUGUGAAGAAGGCCUUUUGGUUGUAAAGCACUUUAAGCGAGGAGGAGGCUACUUAGAUUAAUACUCUAGGAUAGUGGACGUUACUCGCAGAAUAAGCACCGGCUAACUCUGUGCCAGCCGCCGCGGUAAAAC
rnacentral:rRNA from 1 species